UGGGGAAUAUUGGACAAUGGGCGAAAGCCUGAUCCAGCAAUGCCGCGUGUGUGAAGAAGGCCCUCGGGUUGUAAAGCACUUUCAGUGGGGAGGAAAGCCUUUGGGUUAAUAACCCAGAGGGGUGACGUUACCUACAGAAGAAGCACCGGCUAACUGUGUGCCAGCAGCCGCGGUAAUACAGAGGGUGCAAGCGUUAAUCGGAAUUACUGGGCGUAAAGCGCUCGUAGGCGGGUGCCUAAGUCGAUUGUGAAAGCCCUGGGCUUAACCUGGGAACUGCAGUCGAUACUGGGCAUCUAGAGUAUGAUAGAGGAUAGUGGAAUUCCCGGUGUAGCGGUGAAAUGCGUAGAUAUCAAGAGGAACACCUGAGGUGAAGACGGGUUGCUGGGCUGACACUGACGCUGAGGCGCGAAAGCCAGGGGAGCAAACGGGAUUAGAUACCCACGUAGUCCCUGAGCGGGCUGGCAAGGCG
rnacentral:rRNA from 1 species